rnacentral:rRNA from 1 species
CCUACGGGAGGCAGCAGUAGGGAAUUUUGCGCAAUGGGCGAAAGCCUGACCCAGCCACGCCGCGUGAUUGAUUAAGCUCUUAGGGGUGUAAAGAUCCGUCAGUGGGGACGAAACUUGACGGUACCCACAGAGGAAGCACCGGCUAAAUCCGUGCCAGCAGCCGCGGUAAUACGGAGGGUGCAAGCGUUGUCCGGAUUCAUUGGGCGUAAAGAGUUCGUGGGUGGUAUAUUAGGUCUGGUGUUAAAUGCAGAGGCUCAACUUCUGUUCGGCACUGGAUACUGGUAAGCGUGAAUGCGGUAGAGGUAAAGGGAAGUCGUGGUGUAGCGGGGAAAUGCGUAGAUAUCAGGAGGAACAUCGGUGGCGUAAGCGCUUUACUGGGCCGUAAGUGACACUGAGGAACGAAAGCCGGGGUAGCAAAUGGGAUUAGAUACCCCUGUAGUC